rnacentral:rRNA from 1 species
GAUGAACGCUGGCGGCGUGCCUAAUACAUGCAAGUCGAGCGAACAGACGAGGAGCUUGCUUCUCUGACGUUAGCGGCGGACGGGUGAGUAAUACGUGGAUAACCUACCUAUAAGACUGGGAUAACUUCGGGAAACCGGAGCUAAUAUCGGAUAAUAUAUUGAACCGCAUGGUUCAAUAGUGAAAGACGGAUUUGCUGUCACUUAUAGAUGGUUCCGCGCCGCAUUAGCUAGUUGGUAAGGUAACGGCUUACCAUGGCAACGAUGCGUAGCCGACCUGAGAGGGUGAUCGGCCACACUGGAACUGAGACACGGUCCAGACUCCUACGGGAGGCAACAGUAGGGAAUCUUCCGCAAUGGGCGAAAGCCUGACGGAGCAACGCCGCGUGAGUGAUGAAGGUCUUCGGAUCGUAAAACUCUGUUAUUAGGAAAGAACAAAUGUGUAAGUAACUAUGCACGUCUUGACGGUACCUAAUCAGAAAGCCACGGCUAACUACGUG